UCGAUGAAGAACGCAGCGAAAUGCGAUAAGUAAUGUGAAUUGCAGAAUUCAGUGAAUCAUCGAAUCUUUGAACGCACCUUGCGCUCCUUGGUAUUCCGAGGAGCAUGCCUGUUUGAGUGUCAUUAAUAUAUAUAUCAACCUUCUCUUGUUGGAGUGGUUUGGAUGUGGGGGUUUGCUGGCCUCUUAAAAGGUUCAGCUCCCUUGAAAUGCAUUAGCAGAACGGACCUGUUCAUUGGUGUGAUAACUAUCUACGCUAUUGAAUGUGAGGGGAUGUUCAGCUUUCUAACUGUCCUUGGACAAUUUAUCAUUUUAUGUGACCUCAAAUCAGGUAGGACUACCCGCUGAACUUAA
rnacentral:rRNA from 1 species